UACCACCUUCAUAAAUCUCCUCUAAGUUACAAAAUAGCUGGGUUUCAAGACAGCACCUUCUUGUUCCCUUGGGUCCCAACGCCACCAUUCCUCUGAUUGAAAACAUGUCAACAAAAAUUUAGUUUCUUAUUAUAAAGAAACUAGUUAAAAACCCAAAUAAAACAACUCAAUCUAAAAAUCUCACAAAAACUCACCUACUCAACGUCUUAAUUAGCCUUUAAACCACUAGAAUUGUUCAUUUGAUUUUUAAAUUCAAGGAAAGUUUUUGGCUUUUUAAAACAAGGUAUUUUUUAUUUGGUGUUUUGAGUAAGAUAAUGAGUUUUUUUUAUUAGGGUUUGUGAUUGAACAAAAGUUCUUGAAGAAGGUAGCUUUCGAUUUAGCAGUGUAUCGU
rnacentral:lncRNA from 1 species